rnacentral:tRNA from 1 species
GUCAGGAUGGCCGAGCGGUCUAAGGCGCUGCGUUCANCUCCCCUGGAGGCGUGGGUUCGAAUCCCACUUCUGACA